rnacentral:lncRNA from 10 species
UAGAAAAUAAGAUACUGAUAAUGGGCAUAAAUAUACAAAACACCCAGAAAUUAACCUAAUGAAGAAUUGCAGAAGUCCUUUAGAGAAUAUAUUUAAAACAAUAUUAAGGGACGUAAAAAAUCUGGAUAAAUGGAGAGAGUCAUGUUCAGGGAUGGGAAUGACUUGACAUUAGAUAUAAGUCAAAUCUCCCCAAAUUAAUCCAUGAGUCCUCAAUCAGUAUUCAAUUUAGAUUCUUUUGAAGAUUUUGACAGACUUCCAAAAACUUAUGUUAGGUUUAUAAAUAAGUCAGCUUCAAAAAGUGGAGCAAAGAGAAAGAGAAACAGAAUAGAAGACUCAUAAACCAAUGCUUGUAAAUAUGGGAACUUGGUCUAUGAUAAAGACAGCACCACACAAUUAAUAGGUAAGUGAUGAAGUAUUUUGUAGCCAAUAAUGGGGAUCUUAACUCAUUUCUCCUUUCCUGUAGUAGAAUGAUAUAUUCAUGGGCUUUUCAUGUGACUUUGGAAUACCUCCCACUGGAACAGGAAUAUAUAUCCUGUUGAUGGCGGUCAUGGCUUUAACCAUGGAUGUUAGGAUACAUGAUAUAAGCAGAGGUUUUCAAUAUGCUUUGGUUAUUUGGCUUGGCCUCUUGCAUUUCUGCAUCUGCCAUAAGAAAAACAUGCCUUGGCUGAUUUCUGGUCCAUGGAAUGAGGAGACAUAUGGAGCACACCUGAACUCAAUUCUUAGUUCAGAUCCAAGCCUUGCUGAGCCCAGUUGAGA